AUGAACUUCCACGAUGUCCACACGCUGCAGCAGGCGCUGGACGUCGCCCCGCCGCCUCGUCUUCGCACGGCACAAGACCGUGCGAAGCACGUUGAGCGGCAGAACCGCCUCCUCGUCGCCCAUGAAGACGAGCGGGUCAUGGCGGAGUGGCGCCAACAACACCCGGAGGACGUAUCCUACGAGCAAGCCUACUGGGCAAGGCGCCGCGAGGAGGAGAUGCAAAGGCGCCGUGCUGAGCGGUUGGACAGGCGUCAGCGGAAGACCCUGGCGCUAUCCCAGUGCGAUGUAGUUGAGAAUGGUGGUGAGACGAUCUUUACAUCUGAUGAUGAUCGUUGGGAAGACAUGUGGCUCGAUACCUCAGAUCAGACCAGCGAGGAUGGCGACGAUGAUGAUGACGAUGACGACUGGGAGUAG
rnacentral:rRNA from 1 species